UGCCAGCAGCCGCGGUAAUACGAAGGGACCUAGCGUAGUUCGGAAUUACUGGGCUUAAAGAGUUCGUAGGUGGUUAAAAAAGUUGGUGGUGAAAUCCCAGAGCUUAACUCUGGAACUGCCAUCAAAACUUUUUAGCUAGAGUAUGAUAGAGGAAAGCAGAAUUUCUAGUGUAGAGGUGAAAUUCGUAGAUAUUAGGAAGAACACCAGUGGCGAAAGCGACUUUCUGGCUAUUUUCUGACGCUGAGGAGCGAAAGCGUGGGGAGCAAACAGGAUUAGAUA
rnacentral:rRNA from 1 species